UGGGGAAUAUUGGACAAUGGGCGCAAGCCUGAUCCAGCCAUGCCGCGUGAGUGACGAAGGCCUUAGGGUUGUAAAGCUCUUUUGGCGGGGAAGAUAAUGACGGUACCCGCAGAAUAAGCUCCGGCUAACUUCGUGCCAGCAGCCGCGGUAAUACGAAGGGAGCUAGCGUUGUUCGGAAUCACUGGGCGUAAAGCGCACGUAGGCGGAUGUGUCAGCCAGGGGUGAAAUCCCGGAGCUCAACUUCGGAACUGCCCUUGAUACAGCACGUCUUGAGUCCGAUAGAGGUGGGUGGAAUUCCUAGUGUAGAGGUGAAAUUCGUAGAUAUUAGGAAGAACACCGGUGGCGAAGGCGGCCCACUGGCUCGGAUACUGACGCUGAGGUGCGAAAGCGUGGGGAG
rnacentral:rRNA from 1 species